GAUGAACGCUGGCGGCGUGCCUAAUACAUGCAAGUCGAGCGAACAGAUGAGGCGCUUGCUCCUCUGACGUUAGCGGCGGACGGGUGAGUAACACGUGGAUAACCUACCUAUAAGACUGGGAUAACUUCGGGAAACCGGAGCUAAUACCGGAUAAUAUAUUGAACCGCAUGGUUCAAUAGUGAAAGACGGUUUUGCUGUCACUUAUAGAUGGAUCCGCGCCGCAUUAGCUAGUUGGUAAGGUAACGGCUUACCAAGGCAACGAUGCGUAGCCGACCUGAGAGGCGGAUAGGCGACCUGAGAGCUGGAACAGGGACCAGACGCCUGCGAGAGGGAGCAGAAGGGAAUCGGCCGCAAUGGGCGGAAGCCUGACGGAGCGACGCGGCGUGAGAUAUGAAAGUGUUGCGAGCGUAAAACUGUGUUACGAGGGAAGAACAGAUGUGUCAGGAACUAUGCAGGGAUUGACGGUACUGAAUAAGAAAGCAACGGCUAACUACGUG
rnacentral:rRNA from 1 species